UACAGAGGGUGCAAGCGUUAAUCGGAAUGACUGGGCGUAAAGCGCACGUAGGUGGACUGAUAAGUCGGAUGUGAAAGCCCUGGGCUUAACCUGGGAAUGGCAUACGAUACUGUGAGUCUGGAGUAAGGUAGAGGGCAGUGGAAUUUCCGGUGUAGCGGUGAAAUGCGUAGAUAUCGGAAGGAACAUCGGUGGCGAAGGCGGCUGCCUGGACCUAUACUGACGCUGAGGUGCGAAAGCGUGGGGAGCAAACAGG
rnacentral:misc_RNA from 1 species